GGCAGGAAAGAGGGCUGGGUAAAAUAACGCCAGCAAGGGAAAAUCCUUCCACUCUUUGAAAAGGACAUAUUCCAACAUCAAAAUUUACACAAGGACGCUUCAAUCCACCACCAAAGAAAAUACAACACUGACAAGAACAAAUCCUCACUAUGGGUCCAAUUCUGAAAGGUGCUUAGCAUCCUGUGCUUCCACUGGCUCUACUAAAACUAGGCAUGUUUAAAAAAAAACAACAAAAAAACUUGUGUUGACCUGCAAAUAUUUCUAGAUAGUAUCAGAUAAGUAAUGGCAUCCAAUGUCAAAGUUAAAUAUAAAUUGUUUAUGGUCUUUUAUCCAAUAAAUAAAGUACAAUGUAUUUUUAAACUA